rnacentral:lncRNA from 1 species
ACCUAUGCUGUCCUGUCCUUCUUGAGAAUCUGAAACAUACCACAAAACGUAUUCAGCCUUUUGUUCCGUUUGGCAUUAGAAAUCAAAUGUAGAAUCUCCUUUGAGAAAUGUGCAAACUUGGAAAAUCACAGGUGAAUUGGUCCUCUUUAUGCCCCUUUUCUUGAACUCAGGAAGGACACAUACUUAGUCACCUACCCUGGCCCCAGCACAUUUUCCCCAGACAUCAUGCCCUCUGGGAACACACAGGUGAGAAUCCUAAGGGACAUCUCCACGUAAGUCAGUCUCCUGCUUCUUCAGAUGUCCUCUGUGAUGUUCUCCGGGAAGGGAGAGGACCUGUGAAUAGAAUGAGCUUUGGCAUAAAAUCAUGUGCACCUCAGUUUUCAGUCCUGUGUCACCUGUUAAGCUAAAGAUGGAGAUUUGUUAGCUAGAAGGACUAUAACUUGAAUGGAAUUUACUUUAUGAUUUGUGAGGUCUCUUACACAUCUAGCCUUUUAUAUUGUUAAUGUUUUCUUUUGUGUUUAUUACUGAAUAUUUCAGUGCAAAUUUAUCAACUCGGAGAAACAGAGAUUAAAAAUAGAAGUAAACACUAAUACGAGCUCUAGAAAAAAAAGGGAACAGAAAGUCUUUGCCUGCUAAGUAAGUGGCAAUUC